rnacentral:lncRNA from 1 species
CGCACAGGUGUCUGGCUGCUGGGAGCCCCCCCUGAGCCUCCCACCAUGAUGACCGUUUCCUCAGGCUGCGAGCAUGGGGUCACUAACUCCACAUAGCAGAGAACCCUGACUUUCAGGGAACCUUCACAGAACAUCAGAGUAUGUGUCAAUCUCCUCGUUCAUUAUUCCCGGACAGCCACCAGCACACACUCAGACUGCUGUGAAGUCUAACUUAUUGAAAGAGCAGUGGUUCUCUUUAAAGAUAAUGCAUGCUGAGGUCAAUUGCAGCCUUCCUGCCAGAGCUGAAAAGAGGACACGCUCCUCAGGAGAGGAAGACUGGGCUCAGCUCCCUCACAGCAUGUCAUCUCCUUGACGCUAUAGUGCAAACUCUCUUCCUCCUUAUGAAAGUCCUUUGUGCCCCCGAGAUUCCCAAGACAGAGAUGUGCG